rnacentral:rRNA from 1 species
UACGGAGGGGGCUAGCGUUGUUCGGAAUUACUGGGCGUAAAGCGUACGUAGGCGGCUUUGUAAGUUAGAGGUGAAAGCCUGAUGCUCAACAUCAGAAUUGCCUUUAAGACUGCAUCGCUUGAAUCGUGGAGAGGUGAGUGGAAUUCCGAGUGUAGAGGUGAAAUUCGUAGAUAUUCGGAAGAACACCAGUGGCGAAGGCGGCUCACUGGACGACUGUUGACGCUGAGGUGCGAAAGCGUGGGGAGCAAACAGG